GGGUUAGUAGGUUGGUCAUGCCUCUGGUAUGUACUGAUCUCACUGAUUCCUCCUUCCUUAUGAACCGUAAUGCCAUUAAUUUGGUGUUGCGGGGAAUUUGGACUGUUACUUUGAAAAAAUUAGAGUGUUUAAAGCAGGCUAACGCUUGAAUACAUUAGCAUGGAAUAAUAGAAUAGGACUUUGGUUCUAUUUUGUUGGUUUCUAGGAUUGACGUA
rnacentral:rRNA from 1 species